UUCCCCUUUACUUAUAAACUUGGUAGGAAGCGUAGAUACCCUAAUUUUGUAACAUACGUGACUGUCGCCGACUCAAUUUUUAAAAUUGAACAAGCAAAUAUAAAAAUCUGAGAGCGUGUUUUUUAAUUUUCUUUGCGUUAAUAUCAUUUGUAUUUCCUAAAUUUUCAUUCAAUAAAGUUUAACACCUUUUGCGUAUGAUUUUAAGCAGUGGUGUAUAUAUUACUCCAUGUCGCCAGAUUAUAUUAUGUGAUCAUAGGGUCAAUUAAACACCCAAUGUAUGGACAAAGAUUUCGUAUUAUCUUUAUGUUUUUGAUCUAUUUUGGCGCUAAAAUAUUCAAAAACUGUGGGAAAAUAUUCAUCAAGCGAUAUUUGGAUGUGGCAUUGAGAAGAAGUCAUCAUUAUUCUCAAAAUUUUGCAUUCUGAUUUUAGAAAUGUAACAUACGAUACAAUAAACUUUUUAUGAAAACGUAUUUGCAGAGCAAAUGUUACCCCUUUUAUGAAAAUCUCGUAGUGUACAGAGAAUGAAAAUAUAAACAUUUCUUUUGCAAUAGUCAUUGGUUGGUCUGAAAUUUGACAAACGUGUCAAGAUGUAACAUUAGUGAUGUAACAUUCGUUACCGAGAAAUUAAUUAAAGGGAAUGAUAUAACAAUUUCCGGCGUAUUUUUGCUCUCUCUCUGCAUGAUGUGGUAUACGACAUGAACGUCUACUAUGAACAUUUGAGUUUGAAAGUCAAUACGUGUUAAACUUUGAGAAUUAUGAUUAAUUUUCUCUUACGAAAUGGCGCUUGUGAGAUCAGAAGCACAGAAUAACUACCAUGAAAAAAAAUGUAUUAAAACAUAAGAACAACCAUGAAAAAAUGUUUUAGAAAUAAUAUUAUAUGCUCCCCUUGUGGCAAUACUGAAAAGGUAGAAUGUCUGUAUAGACAGUGAAAAUAAAGGUUUAACUACCGGUCAAAGGCUACCAUAAUGAUACAUGUAAGUUUUGUCUCUCAAAAUACUUAUAAGCAACUGGUCAUUUUAGUAAUUUUGUAUGACCUUUGACCUUGUGAAUUGGAAGCCAAUGGGGGUCAUCUAUUCAUAAGGGCACCAGUGUUUCAAGUUUGAUGUCUAUCAAGGAAAGAUUUCUCAACGGACAAUAGCCUAUGUCCAGAGUAGUUUAACCGUUGUCCCUUUGACCUCAAAAUUAAUAGGGGACAUCUAUGUCUUAAGGUUCACGUUAAAUAUUCAUUCAUAACACCGCGUGGUGGAUUAUACUGACAGUUUCUAUGGAAAGGUAUUCCAAAAUAAGCAACAAAAACAUAAGAUUCGGUAUACAUUUAAUCAAAAUGUUGGGAAAUUAAACAUUUUCUUUAUAUUAUUAUUGUAAACAGAUUGUUAGAAAUGGGUAAAUAUGAUUCUUUCCAUUUUUUGAAUAGAAAUGAUGUGUUUAUAGUAAUGAAAGGAAAAAUAAGAAACAUACGUUACUUUCAUUGUUUAUUAUAACAAAGAGCAAUCCAGGUUUCAAAAUAUGUGUCUGUUAUUUCUAUAAGAAUCAUGAGCAUUUAUAUAGCGAAA